rnacentral:rRNA from 1 species
AUGCAACCAGGAAUACUGCACCGUCUCGGCUCACAGGAAUCGUCGUUCGUCCUCGUCUCCUCCGAUCAAGUGGCUCUGCCAGUGCCAGGCAGCAUGGCCAUGCCUCGCCGUCUUGAUCAGCUGCUCCUCCGCCUCAUGGCCAGCUGCUUCCUGCUUCAGGCUCUCAGCGUCCAUGCCAUCACCCGACACUACAAGUUCAAUGUGGUUAUGAGGAACAUGACACUGCUUUGCUCAACCAAGUCCAUCCUCACUGUUAACGGCAAGUUCCCGGGGCCGACCCUCUAUGCAAGAGAAGGCGAUGACGUUCUUGUCAAGGUCGUCAAUCAUUCACCUCACAACGUUACCAUCCACUGGCACGGGGUAAGGCAAAUCCGGACUGGGUGGUACGAUGGACCAGCCUACAUUACACAGUGCCCAAUCCAGCCAGGGAGCAGCUUUCUGUAUAAUUUCACCGUUACUGGCCAACGUGGUACGCUCCUAUGGCAUGCCCAUAUCAACUGGCUGCGGGCUACCGUUCAUGGUGCUAUUGUCAUACUGCCCAAGCUUGGAGUACCCUACCCCUUUCCUGCUCCUCACAAGGAGGCAGUUGUUGUCCUAGGUGAAUGGUGGAAAGCUGAUACAGAGACUGUAAUCAACCAGGCCAUGCAACUAGGAGUAGGACCCAAUAUUUCUGAUUCCCACACCAUCAAUGGCCACCCUGGUCCGAUGUCUGAUUGUGCCUCCUCCCAAGAUGGAUUCAAUCUCGAUGUCGAAAAUGGCAAGACAUACAUGCUCCGGAUCAUCAACGCUGGUCUGAAUGACGACCUAUUCUUCAAGAUUGCCGGGCACGGACUAACUGUGGUUGAGGUUGAUGCAGUCUAUACCAAGCCAUAUAAAACCGAUAUCCUGCUCAUCACUCCAGGCCAGACCACCAACGUCCUCGUCACUACUGACCAAAGUGCUGGCCGUUACCUUCUCUCAGUCUCUCCCUUCCUGGAUGCUCCACUACAAGUUGACAACAAAACAGGCACUGCUACCUUGCAGUACGCUAACACUGUCUCUGCCACAGCGCGCCUCACUCUCGUCAAGCCACCACCACAGAAUGCCACCCCUAUUGCAUCAAAAUUCUCUGAGUCGCUCCGAAGCCUCAACUCCAAGGAGUACCCAGCCAAUGUGCCACAGACAGUAGAACACUCGCUUUUCUUUACCAUCGGUGUGGGUGUCAAUCCAUGCGCAAACUGCAUUAAUGGGACCAGAGUGGUGGGCACAAUCAACAAUUCAACAUUCGUUAUGCCAUCCACCCCAAUUCUCCAAGCCCGUUACUACAGCAUUCCAGGGGUCUUCACCGAAGACUUCCCAGCAACACCACCACACAAGUUCAACUACACAGGAAGCGGCCCCAAAAACCUUCAAACCAUGAAAGGAACCAGGGUUCAUAGGCUGCCAUAUAAUGCUUCAGUGCAGGUCAUACUCCAGGAUACAGGGAUCAUAUCAACAGAAAGCCACCCGAUCCAUCUGCAUGGAUUUAACUUUUUUGUCGUCGGGAGGGGUGUUGGGAAUUACAACCCCAAAGCCUCCCCUUCCACAUUUAACCUCAUCGACCCCGUUGAGAGAAACACCAUUGGAGUUCCUACUGGAGGCUGGACAGCAAUCAGGUUCAGGGCAGACAACCCAGGUGUGUGGUUUAUGCAUUGCCAUUUCGAGGUGCACACUUCAUGGGGACUCAAGAUGGUCUUUGUGGUGGAUAAUGGGAAAAGACCUAGCGAGACUCUAAUUCCACCACCUAAAGAUCUUCCCCAGUGCUGA